rnacentral:lncRNA from 1 species
GCAGAUGAAUGGUCUCUCUGGCUACCUUUAGACUUUCUUAUCAGCUUGCAGCUGAGCCCGUGCUUUCCCCACACCCCACUUCGUAAUUUCUGCAUGUUUGGUUGUUCAUUGCAGUGUGUUUGGAAGCAGUUAAACCUGUGGUGCUGUGAAGAAUCUGGCCAGCAUACAGGUUCCCAGCCCUGAAAGUGAUACAGGUGUCAGCACAACCCAGCAGGCUUGACCCAGCUGAUCCACACCUUCCAAAUGUGCCUUUAGAGGCAACUAGAAACACCUGCCCUGCUUAUGAGAUGUUAAAAGUGUAAGGGUUCUCACUAAGGUAGUGCUCUAAGAUUUAGGUAAGGUGACUGUGACUGUCUCUGUUAUGAGGAGCUAGGCAGGCUGGUGCUCUGGUCUUGCUUGUGAUGCCAUAUGCAGCAGAAAUCAGAGCUGUCUUCUGGCAAAAAGGCUCAAAGGUGUGGUGGGCUGCUUUUCUCCAUGCUGAGUUUUGCCAACCUGAGGAUAGCUGAGCUGUUCAGGAGAAGGGGGCUAGCCUGCUGAAAUACUGCAUGCAGCAGCUGCCAGAGUAUGCAGUGGGACUGCCAUGAGCUUGGACCCUGUGGUCCUCUGAGUCUCAGUCUGAAUUUUGAUGACUUUUGUAACUAGGAGAGGUGCAACCUGUAGUGUUUCUGGGCAGAGCUGUGUGCAGAUUUACCUUUGUAAUCCUGGGUUCUAGUAACACCAUAUAUUUAAGGUUAAUGUAGUAAGUGUGAGCAGUGAAGAUCUUUCAGGUGAUGCUUGCAUAAUGAUUCCACUUUAAAAAUAAUGUAUGCAUUAGAAAGAACACAUUAGUUCAAACACUUUGCAGCUAUUUGGGACUUGACAUCAUAAUUUUUCUGGAAUAACAAGGGCUGUCUGUAAUAUUCUGGCAAACCUUUCCUUCCCUGUUCCUUGUUUCUCAGCUCUAUUGUACCUUGUCAUGCUUUUAGUCUAUGCUAAAAAGCUAAUCAAAAGCCAGGUAAAAUAGACUAAAAGAUCUCCACUGAUUUCAGAGGUCUCUGGAGCAGACUGUAAUACUAUUAAUCUCUUAGAAUAGGGACCCAAUUUCAGAGA